GCUCCAAUAGCGUAUAUUAAAGUUGUUGCAGUUAAAAAGCUCGUAGUUGAAUUUCAGGCCUGUUGGUCAGGUCUGCCUAACGGCAUGUACUUGGCUGGCAGGUCUUCUAGGCUGUUUCGGCCAGCUGCCUUACUGGGUGGCUGUGGUGCGGCAGCGUGUUACUGUGAAAAAAUUAGAGUGUUUAAAGCAUGCCUGUUGGC
rnacentral:rRNA from 1 species